ensembl:lncRNA
GUCUGUGGAAUGCGUGAUGCUCGGGUAGCCACACCCCCGGGCUGGGCCAUCACUAGCACACCUGCUCUCCAUCCCGGUGAUUACACGGAGAUCCACUUAAUCCGGCGCUGACGGAUGCUCCACGCCAGUCCGUAGUCAUCCCCACAGUGGUAACCAGACUUCCACGAAAAGUGUGCAUUCUCUUCUGCUUGGAACUUUGUUUAACCUGCCUACUUCUGUCCAGAUUUCUACUCGGCGUCUGCUACCUGCCUGUCCUCCGGCUCAACUGGAUCUCGCGGCGCUCACCUGGCCCACUCGCCAUUCCACGGACUUCCUGCCCCCACGGACUGCCACACUUCCCUCCCGAGCUCCCACGGUUCCGUUCUAUCCCCCCCGCCGUCCCGAUCCCGGCUUCCUCGUGUCAUUGUUUCCCCGGAUUUUUAGUUUCUGUUUUGCUCUCUACUUUCCCCGGGUCGCCUUUCGUUGUUUUAAUAAAGUGUCUUUUUGUUAGCUCGGAG